AGUAGUUUGAUCAGUGGCUCAGGACGAACGCUGGCGGCGUGCCUAACACAUGCAAGUCGAACGGAGUUAUAAAGACGGAACCCUUCGGGGGGACAGAAAUAUAACUUAGUGGCGGACGGGUGAGUAACGCGUGAGUAACCUGCCUUUGAGAGGGGGAUAACGUUCUGAAAAGAACGCUAAUACCGCAUAACAUAUUGAAGGCGCAUGACUUUGAUAUCAAAGAUUUUAUCGCUCAAAGAUGGACUCGCGUCCGAUUAGUUAGUUGGUGGGGUAACGGCCUACCAAGACGACGAUCGGUAGCCGGACUGAGAGGUUGAACGGCCACAUUGGGACUGAGACACGGCCCAGACUCC
rnacentral:rRNA from 1 species